rnacentral:rRNA from 1 species
AUGUUAGCUAUGGAUUUGUCCAACAAUAGCUUUUCAGGUGAACUUCCCAUAUCAACGAGCUUGGGCCUUAAACUUCAGUCACUUCGUCUUGCUAACAAUAAGUUUCUUGGAGUUUUUCCCUCCGUAAUUGAAACCUGCAGAGAUCUUGUCAUCCUAGAUCUUGGGAACAACAUGUUCUUUGGUGAUAUGCCCUCUUGGAUUGGAAAGAGUGUUCCUAGUUUACAAGUUUUGAGCCUCCCAUCCAACAAUUUCAGUGGUGUCCUUCCACCCGAAUUGUUCCAGCUUUCUAAUCUGCAAGUCCUGGACCUGUCCAUCAACUUUUUCUCCGGCGAGAUCCCCAUGGCCAUGGGAAACCACAAUUGCAACUCCCUGGUCACCCUAGACAUCGGGAACAACCGGUUCUCUGGUGGUAUCCCUACAUGGAUCGGGAGUCAGCUUCCAUAUUUGAAAGUCCUUAGACUUAGAUCAAACAAUUUCACGGGAGAAAUCCCCAUGGAGUUAUCAUGGCUUCCGCAACUUCAGCUGAUCGAUAUGGCCAACAAUCGCUUGAUAGGAUCAAUUCCAGUAUGCUUUGGCAACCUGACCUCCAUGACGCAUAAUCCUCCAACAUUCCUCGUACCGAGGCCAGAUUCCGCUCCUUCUUUUCAGAUUAUGCGCAAUGGUCAACUGCGAGUGGCUGAGUUCCCAGGUAGAGUCAACAUAUCCUGGAAGGGCCGUGAACAAACUUUUCAGGAUAGCAUCGGGUUAAUAACAGGUUUUGAUCUAUCAUGCAAUCGGCUUACAGAGAGCAUCCCUGAAGAUCUAACAUACCUCAAAGGUCUCCGGUUUCUGAACUUGUCCAGAAAUGAUCUAUCAGGCAGUAUUCCAGAAAAAAUCGGCAGUUUGGAGCUCUUGGAUUUCCUUGACCUCUCAUGCAAUGAACUCUCAGGUACUAUUCCUCCUAGCAUUUCAAAUCUGCGGUCCCUUGGCGUGCUAAACCUCUCCAACAACCACUUAUGGGGCCGCAUACCCACUGGAGAUCAGUUACAGACGUUCGUGGAUCCAUCGAUUUAUGGCAACAAUCCAGGGCUUUGUGGCUUCCCGUUGUUGAAUGUGUGUGAGCCUACAUUGGACCAGGGAGCUGAAGUCCGCAAAGAACUCAGAGACCUGGGGCUAUGGUACUCUGUAAUUCUUGGCUUUGUUUUUGGUUUUUGGAUUUGGUUUGGAACUCUCUUCUUCCUGGAGCCGUGGAGAUUUUUCUUUCUCCGUUUUAUUGAUGGCUUAGGCAGGAAGAUAGAUGCCAGGCGUUAA